rnacentral:rRNA from 1 species
AUACGGAGGAUCCGAGUGUUAUCCGGAUUUAUUGGGUUUAAAGGGUGCGCAGGCGGGAGAUUAAGUCGGCGGUGAAAUUUUGCAGCUCAACUGUAAAAGUGCCUUCGAUACUGGUUUCCUUGAGUGUGGAUGAAGUAGGCGGAAUUUGUGGUGUAGCGGUGAAAUGCUUAGAUAUCACGAGGAACUCCGAUUGCGCAGGCAGCUUACUAAACCACUACUGACGCUCAGGCACGAAGGCGUGGGGAUCAAACAGGAUUAGAUACCCUGGUAGUCCACGCAGUAAACGAUGAUUACUGGCUGUUUGCGAUACAAUGUAAGCGGCUGAGCGAAAGCGUUAAGUAAUCCACCUGGGGAGUACGUUCGCAAGAAUGAAACUCAAAGGAAUUGACGGGG